UUUUUUGCUUCCUGUCUGCCUGCAUGAGCUGGGACAUCUUAUCUCUCUGGCCCUAGAACUGGGAUUUACACCAGUGACUCCCCUGGUUCUCAGGCUUUCAGACUCAGACUGAAUUACACCGUGGGCUUUCCUGGGACUCUGAUGGCAAUUUGUGGGACUUCUCAGCCUCCGUAAUUGUUCUAAGACCCACAUUCCAGAGAGAGUCCUGCCCCAUCCCCAGAAGGAAGGAAUGCUGCUCAGAGAGGACAAGAAGGUGAGCCAUAGCAGAUACUUCAAUGCUCCAGUGAUGUUGGACUUGGGCUAUGUGACUUGCCCUUAAUGAUGGAAUGUGGGUGGAAGUGAAAGUGUGUCAAUUCCCAGCUAUAAGCAUUGCAUGUUUCUGUUUACACCUUUGAAUGUAUGCCACCCUCCAUGAGAAGAACAAGCCACAGGUAACCACUGAUCUCAGAACAAAGAACCUUUGAAACAGACUUGAACUCAACCCACAGCCUAAAACAGAACCACACUAGCUGAACUGCAGAGCAAUGAGCCAGAAAUAAAUCAUUGUUAU
rnacentral:lncRNA from 10 species